UACGAAGGGUGCAAGCGUUAAUCGGAAUUACUGGGCGUAAAGGGUGCGUAGGCGGUUCGUUAAGUCUGUCGUGAAAUCCCCGGGCUCAACCUGGGAAUGGCGAUGGAUACUGGCGAGCUAGAGUGUGUCAGAGGAUGGUGGAAUUCCACGUGUAGCAGUGAAAUGCGUAGAGAUCGGGAAGAACAUCAGUGGCGAAGGCGGUCUGCUGGGCCGUUGCUGACGCUGAGGCGCGACAGCGUGGGGAGCAAACAGG
rnacentral:rRNA from 1 species